CACGUAGGGUGCGAGCGUUGUCCGGAAUUAUUGGGCGUAAAGAGCUCGUAGGCGGUGUGUCGCGUCGGCCGUGAAAACCUGCAGCUUAACUGUAGGCUUGCGGUCGAUACGGGCAUCACUGGAGUUCGGCAGGGGAGACUGGAAUUCCUGGUGUAGCGGUGAAAUGCGCAGAUAUCAGGAGGAACACCGGUGGCGAAGGCGGGUCUCUGGGCCGGUACUGACGCUGAGGAGCGAAAGCGUGGGGAGCGAACAGG
rnacentral:rRNA from 1 species